rnacentral:lncRNA from 1 species
CUCACUUUUCUCGUCUCCCGCACCAUCUACAUGCUCAGCACUCUCUGGAUCCACAGCGGCGCUUCCUUCCUUGCUCUUCUUCUUCUUCUUCUUCUUUUCGCUGCCCUUCUCAUCAGCCACAUCAGCCUUCUCUGCCUCCUUCACUUCCACCGCGUCUGCUGAUUCUGAUUCGCCCUUAUCUUUCUUUUUCUUCUUCUUCUUCUCGCUCUUCUCCCCUUCCACUGCCUCGGCAGCUUCCUCAACCUUGAUCUUCUUGGCCGGAACAGAAGCAUCGUCGUCAUUGUUCUCAUCCUUCUGCCUCUUCUUUUUCUUCUCCUUGACCUCUUCAUGGAUGACUGCGUCC